UUAAGUUAUUAAGGGCGCACGGUGGAUGCCUUGGCACUAGAAGCCGAUGAAGGACGUUACUAACGACGAUAUGCUUUGGGGAGCUGUAAGUAAGCUUUGAUCCAGAGAUUUCCGAAUGGGGAAACCCAGCAUGAGUUAUGUCAUGUUAUCGAUAUGUGAAUACAUAGCAUAUCAGAAGGCACACCCGGAGAACUGAAACAUCUUAGUACCCGGAGGAAGAGAAAGAAAAUUCGAUUCCCUUAGUAGCGGCGAGCGAAAUGGGAAGAGCCCAAACCAACAAGCUUGCUUGUUGGGGUUGUAGGACACUCUAUACGGAGUUACAAAGGACGACAUUAGACGAAUCAUCUGGAAAGAUGAAUCAAAGAAGGUAAUAAUCCUGUAGUCGAAAAUGUUGUCUCUCUUGAGUGGAUCCUGAGUACGACGGAGCACGUGAAAUUCCGUCGGAAUCUGGGAGGACCAUCUCCUAAGGCUAAAUACUCUCUAGUGACCGAUAGUGAACCAGUACCGUGAGGGAAAGGUGAAAAGCACCCCGGAAGGGGAGUGAAAUAGAACCUGAAACCGUGUGCUUACAAGUAGUCAGAGCCCGUUAAUGGGUGAUGGCGUGCCUUUUGUAGAAUGAACCGGCGAGUUACGAUUUGAUGCAAGGUUAAGCAGUAAAUGUGGAGCCGUAGCGAAAGCGAGUCUGAAUAGGGCGUUUAGUAUUUGGUCGUAGACCCGAAACCAGGUGAUCUACCCUUGGUCAGGUUGAAGUUCAGGUAACACUGAAUGGAGGACCGAACCGACUUACGUUGAAAAGUGAGCGGAUGAACUGAGGGUAGCGGAGAAAUUCCAAUCGAACCUGGAGAUAGCUGGUUCUCUCCGAAAUAGCUUUAGGGCUAGCCUCAAGUGAUGAUUAUUGGAGGUAGAGCACUGUUUGGACGAGGGGCCCCUCUCGGGUUACCGAAUUCAGACAAACUCCGAAUGCCAAUUAAUUUAACUUGGGAGUCAGAACAUGGGUGAUAAGGUCCGUGUUCGAAAGGGAAACAGCCCAGACCACCAGCUAAGGUCCCAAAAUAUAUGUUAAGUGGAAAAGGAUGUGGCGUUGCCCAGACAACUAGGAUGUUGGCUUAGAAGCAGCCAUCAUUUAAAGAGUGCGUAAUAGCUCACUAGUCGAGUGACACUGCGCCGAAAAUGUACCGGGGCUAAACAUAUUACCGAAGCUGUGGAUUGUCCUUUGGACAAUGGUAGGAGAGCGUUCUAAGGGCGUUGAAGCAUGAUCGUAAGGACAUGUGGAGCGCUUAGAAGUGAGAAUGCCGGUGUGAGUAGCGAAAGACGGGUGAGAAUCCCGUCCACCGAUUGACUAAGGUUUCCAGAGGAAGGCUCGUCCGCUCUGGGUUAGUCGGGUCCUAAGCUGAGGCCGACAGGCGUAGGCGAUGGAUAACAGGUUGAUAUUCCUGUACCACCUAUAAUCGUUUUAAUCGAUGGGGGGACGCAGUAGGAUAGGCGAAGCGUGCGAUUGGAUUGCACGUCUAAGCAGUAAGGCUGAGUAUUAGGCAAAUCCGGUACUCGUUAAGGCUGAGCUGUGAUGGGGAGAAGACAUUGAGUCUUCGAGUCGUUGAUUUCACACUGCCGAGAAAAGCCUCUAGAUAGAAAAUAGGUGCCCGUACCGCAAACCGACACAGGUAGUCAAGAUGAGAAUUCUAAGGUGAGCGAGCGAACUCUCGUUAAGGAACUCGGCAAAAUGACCCCGUAACUUCGGGAGAAGGGGUGCUCUUUAGGGUUAACGCCCAGAAGAGCCGCAGUGAAUAGGCCCAAGCGACUGUUUAUCAAAAACACAGGUCUCUGCUAAACCGUAAGGUGAUGUAUAGGGGCUGACGCCUGCCCGGUGCUGGAAGGUUAAGAGGAGUGGUUAGCUUCUGCGAAGCUACGAAUCGAAGCCCCAGUAAACGGCGGCCGUAACUAUAACGGUCCUAAGGUAGCGAAAUUCCUUGUCGGGUAAGUUCCGACCCGCACGAAAGGCGUAACGAUUUGGGCACUGUCUCAACGAGAGACUCGGUGAAAUCAUAGUACCUGUGAAGAUGCAGGUUACCCGCGACAGGACGGAAAGACCCCGUGGAGCUUUACUGUAGCCUGAUAUUGAAAUUCGGCACAGCUUGUACAGGAUAGGUAGGAGCCUUUGAAACGUGAGCGCUAGCUUACGUGGAGGCGCUGGUGGGAUACUACCCUAGCUGUGUUGGCUUUCUAACCCGCACCACUUAUCGUGGUGGGAGACAGUGUCAGGCGGGCAGUUUGACUGGGGCGGUCGCCUCCUAAAAGGUAACGGAGGCGCUCAAAGGUUCCCUCAGAAUGGUUGGAAAUCAUUCAUAGAGUGUAAAGGCAUAAGGGAGCUUGACUGCGAGACCUACAAGUCGAGCAGGGUCGAAAGACGGACUUAGUGAUCCGGUGGUUCCGCAUGGAAGGGCCAUCGCUCAACGGAUAAAAGCUACCCCGGGGAUAACAGGCUUAUCUCCCCCAAGAGUUCACAUCGACGGGGAGGUUUGGCACCUCGAUGUCGGCUCAUCGCAUCCUGGGGCUGUAGUCGGUCCCAAGGGUUGGGCUGUUCGCCCAUUAAAGCGGUACGCGAGCUGGGUUCAGAACGUCGUGAGACAGUUCGGUCCCUAUCCGUCGUGGGCGUAGGAAAUUUGAGAGGAGCUGUCCUUAGUACGAGAGGACCGGGAUGGACAUACCUCUGGUGUACCAGUUGUCGUGCCAACGGCAUAGCUGGGUAGCUAUGUGUGGACGGGAUAAGUGCUGAAAGCAUCUAAGCAUGAAGCCCCCCUCAAGAUGAGAUUUCCCAACUUCGGUUAUAAGAUCCCUCAAAGAUGAUGAGGUUAAUAGGUUCGAGGUGGAAGCAUGGUGACAUGUGGAGCUGACGAAUACUAAUCGAUCGAAGACUUAAUCAA
rnacentral:rRNA from 2 species